rnacentral:tRNA from 1 species
ACCGAAUUGGUCCAGUGGUUAGGAUCUCCCGCUUUCACCGGGAUGGCCGGGGUUCGAUUCCCCGAUUCGGAG